UUUUUGUUGUUGUUGUUUGUAUUUUUAGUAGAGAUGAAGUUUCACCAUGUUGGUCAGGCUGGUUUCGAACUCCUGACCUUGUGAUCCGCCUGCCUCAGUCUCCCAAAGUGCUGGGAUUACAGGCGUGAGCCACCGCGCCCGGACAGAAUCUUUUUUAUUGUGAUAAAAAAAAAAAACCAUAAAAUUUACCAUCUUAACCUUUUGUUUGUUUGUUUUGUUUUGUUUUGUUUUGUUUUGAGAUGCAGUCUUGCUCUGUUGUCUAGGCUGCAGUGCAGUGGCGGGAUCUCGGCUCACUGCAACCUCUGUCUCCCGGGUUCACGCCAUUCUCCAGCCUCAGCCUCCAGAGUAGCAGGGACUACAGGCUCCCGCCACUACGCCCAGGCAACUUUUUAUAUUUUUAGUAGAUAGUGGUUUCACCGUGUUAGCCAGGAUGGUCUCAAUCUCCUGACCUCGUGAUCCACCCGCCUUGGCCUCCCAAAGUGCUGGGAUUACAGGCGUGAGCCACUGCGCCCAGCCCAUCUUAACCAUUUUUAAGUGCACAGUUCAGUAGGCUUAGGUAUAUUUACAUUGUUGUGCAACUAAUCUCCAGAACUUUUUCAUCUUGCAAAACUGAAGCUGAACCCCUUAAACAACUCCUCUUCCCCACCCUCUCCCCAGCCCCUGGUAAGCCGUCUUAUUGGUUUGUUUGCUUUGAAUGAAGACUGUCUGCUUUCUGUCUCUACAUUUUGUCUUUUUGAUUUUGACUAACUUAAGGACCUCGUAUAAGUGGAAUCAUGUACUAUUUGUGUUUUUGUGAGUGGUUUAUUUCACUUAGCAUAAUGUCCUUCAGUUUCAUCUAUGUGUAGCAUGAGACAGGAUGUCUUUUUUUAAGUAUUCCAUUGCAUGUAUAUACAACAUUUUGUUUGUCCACUCAUCUGUCAAUGGAAAUUUGGGUUGUUAUCACUUCUUGGCUGUUAUGAAUAGUGCUGCUAUAAACAUAGGCAUGCAAAUGUGUCUUCAAGAGUAUCAUGGAAUCCUAUAACAAAAAACCUUGAGAGCUAGAAUAGCCUUAGAGUCACAGUAAUUUGGUCCUACUCUGUCCUUUUACAGAUGAGCACACUGAGGUUGGACCAGUUAUGUGACUUACCCAUGGUAAAAUGAUUUGGUGAUAAAAAUCACUAACGCUUUUUCAAACAUUUAAAAAAAAAUUUUUUUUGAGACAGAGUCUCACACUGUCACCUGGGCUGGAGUGCAGGGGUGCAAUCUCAGCCCACUGCAACCUAUGCCUCCCAGGUUCAAGCGAUUCUCCUUGCCUCAGCCUCCCAAGUAGCUGGGAUUACAGGUGCCUGCCACCAAGCCUGGCUAAUUUUUUUUGUAUUUUUAGUAAAGACGGGGUUUCACCAUGUUGGUCAGGCUGGUCUUGAACUCCUGACCUCGUGAUCCACCCGCCUCGGCCUCCUAUAGUGCUGGGAUUACAGGUGUGAGCCACCGUGUCCAGUCAUCACUAACACUUUAAAAGGAUACAGUGAGCCAGACCCUUGGCUGAGUACAUGACCUGUAGUAUGUUAGUUAGCCCUCACCAAUAAAACCUCUGAAAUAGAUACUAGUACCAUCUCCAUUUUAAAGAUAACAAAACUGAAGUGCAAAGAGAUUAAGAUUAUAUAUAUAUAUAUAUAUACACACACACACACACACACACACACACAC
rnacentral:lncRNA from 1 species